UACGAAGGGUGCAAGCGUUAAUCGGAAUUACUGGGCGUAAGGCGCGCGUAGGUGGUUCAGUAAGUUGGAAGUGAAAUCCCCGGGCUCAACCUGGGAACUGCUUUCAAAACUGCUGAGCUAGAGUACGGUAGAGGGUGGUGGAAUUUCCUGUGUAGCGGUGAAAUGCGUAGAUAUAGGAAGGAACACCAGUGGCGAAGGCGACCACCUGGACUGAUACUGACACUGAGGUGCGAAAGCGUGGGGAGCAAACAGG
rnacentral:rRNA from 1 species